GUGAGUCAUCGAAUCUUUGAACGCACAUUGCGCCCUUUGGCAUUCCGAAGGGCAUGCCCGUUCGAGCGUCAUUAAAUCCAAUCAAGCCUGGCUUGGUAUUGGGCGUCGGGGUGUCCCCGUGCCUCAAUUUCACCGGCUGGCCGUCGCCCGUCUUAGCGUUGUGACUUAUGUUUCGCUAGCGAUGGGAGGGGGACCACGCCGUUAAACUCCACAGAUUCCUAACGGAAUUUGAUUAAGGUUGACCUCGGAUCGGGUAGGAAUACCCGCUGAACUUAAGCAUAUCAAUAAGCGGAGGA
rnacentral:misc_RNA from 1 species